rnacentral:rRNA from 1 species
UAAAGCACUUUAGGUGGUGAAGAAAGGUAUAACUUGAAUAAAGUUAUAGUGUGACAUUAGCCACAGAAUAAGCACCGGCAAACUCUGUGC